rnacentral:RNase_P_RNA from 1 species
CAAGCAGGCCAGGCGGUCGCGGGUGGCGCAAGCCAUCCGAGGAAAGUCCGAGCUCCGCAGAGCACGGUGCUGGGUAACACCCAGGCGGGGUGACCCGACGGAACAGUGCAACAGAAAGCAGACUGCUGGCUUCGGCCAGUGAGGGUGCAACGGUAGUGUAAGAGACUACCAGCGGCUCCAGUGAUGGGGUCGGCUGGGCAAACCCCACCGGGAGCAAGGCCAAGCAGGAGGGAAGGCGCUAAGCGCCGGGAGGCGGCUCGUCUCCCUGGACCUUCGGGUAGGCUGCUUGAGGCGGCGGGUAACCGCCGUCCCAGAUAGAUGACCGCCACCCUGGUUCGCCAGGGGACAGAACUCGGCUUAUCGGCUCGCUUGGGCA